GAGAGAGAAAAGAAAGAAGACAAAGAAAGAAAAGAUCGCAAAAGGGAUCAUUCAAACAGUGAUCGAGAGAAUAUACAAGAAUCAAAAAGGCGUAAAGAUGAAAAUGGGACAGGUGGCUCUGGGAAAAGGAGUAAAAGUGCAAGCCCUGCAGAUUCCCCACGUUCAAACGAAAAGGAGAAAAAUAAGAGUUCAAAAUCUAGCUCUGGUAAAGACCGGGAUAAAAAUGAUUCAAUCAAGCUAGAAAAAAUAGAAAAGAGUUCAACAACAAGCAAGAAGGAAUCUAGACAUGAUAAAGGAGAGAAAAAAGAGAAGCGUGAGAGUGGAGGUCUGAAAGAAGA